GCUACCCAAGCUAAUUAGAAGAGGUGGAGAACUUAUUCAGUUUAGGAUUACAAUGCAAAAUGGUCUUUCUCUAAUACAAUACUCUUGACCACAUUGUUUGGUUUGGUAGUUUAAACAUGUCUACUAUCCAAAGUGAUUCUUUUACCUAUAUGAUUACCUUGAUUGUGAUUUGGAACGACUUCCUAAAUCUCAUUCAUACUCUGGCCAAAGAUUCUUAAUCAUAUCAUAGAGUAUUCUCCCUUAAACAGUUUGAAGGUUAGAGAUCCCUUGUUGUGCAUUCACUUGCCUCCAUGGUUAUCAUAGAGUAUUCUCCCUCAAAUGGUUUGAAGGUUAGAGAUCCCUUGUUGUGCAUUCACUUGCCUCCAUGGCUAAGUGGCUUAACCCUAACUAUGUUGUGGAUGCCCCCUGACGGAGUGACUUUGAUAUAGUCAAAGAUCAAGGACCUAACCACAAGAUAACUAUGAUGCCUCAGGUCAAAUGACUACUUUACAUUAUCCCAACCAUGAGUUCUCAUGUGACAUGAGUAUGAGAACUCUUUGUUGAUCGUGUUCAGUAGACUCAUUCUUUAUUAAACACCUACAUGCUUGUCUUGGUGUCAGUCAUACCAAUGACUCAAGACUAGUCAUUCUCUCUAAGAGAAGACAUAGCAUGUACUGAUCUUAACGGACUGUCAAUGCCCAAUUGGCAAUCCUAUGAUCAGGAACGUUUAGGAUAUGUAUACAAAAGAGAUUGGUCUCAUGAAUCUAACUUCCUUAUAUCACAUUCUCCCAAUUGCAUAUUCCUUGGACUUAUUGUUUAAGCAUAUAACAUUUAUAUGAGAUGGCUUAAAACAAUAAUCUUUACCCUUUAUAUUAAACUAGAUUAGUUUAACAUGUGAAAUGUCCGUAAAGUAUCAUCAUAUGAUUGGUUUUAGGGCACAUUUUCAACAAAUAUCUCAUAAAACGUAUUCAUUAAAAUCAUGCUUUUCAUGUAUGCAUUUCUACUAUUAAAACAUGCAUUUUAGAAGGGGUCCACUCACAGAUACUCCAUCGUCAAAGAGCCGUACAAAAUAGGAAUGACGGAAUCGUCUCUAAUAUUCGCACCUAAGCACAUAAAAGGUACAAUUAAUAAAAUUAUACUCAAACGAUUGAAUUUCAGGAACGGACGUCAUAAACGGAUUCAGGACGUCGAAAAACAUA
rnacentral:lncRNA from 1 species